AUCGUCAUUCAUAAAAUAUAUAAAAAAAAGAUCGGAUAAUUAGAUAUGUAUGAUAUUCUUUACCUAACUUUCUCGUUUUCUUUUUCGAUCAUUAUCUUUUUUUUUUUCCCUUAUUUCAUUUUUUUAUAUAUUUUUUAUUGACUUAAGCAUCGAAUAAAUUUUCGAAAUAUUACUUUCGAUAACCUCCUAACCUUUUUCUUUGUGAUAAAUUUGACAUUCUCUUCAUCUAAACUUCUAACGAGCCCUUCGACUACUAGACCAAGAAUUACGUCUACAAAUAUAGCUACCACUUUCCAAACAAAGAUAAUUUUCCGUUAAUAUAUUUUCUAGAAAGCACAUUAAAAUUUCCAUUACCUAAUUUUUCACAUGUUAGAAAGAAAAGAAAGGGGAAGUUGGAAUUACAAAUAUUUUCACGUGGCCAAAAACAAAACCAUUUGACUUGUGGUGAUUGAUGUGGAAAAAAAUGGUGGGUUUUUGGCUUUUGGAUGUUUGAAGAUUUCCAAUUAAACAUGGGUGACCUAUAACUCUCAAAUUUUCAUUUAUAGCACGUGAUUAAUGUUGUUGUUGUUGUUGUUUUUUUAUCACGUGAUUCUUUUGGGUUUUUGAUCUAAAAGUUGGUGGUGGUUUUGUGAUAAGGUCCUAAAGAGAGGCAAGCAAAGCAAGUGUUUGCACUUUGUAGUUCACGUAAUAUGAUUACACAACUCUUUUUAACAUCCGGACAAUUGGCAACAACAUGGUAUCCAA
rnacentral:lncRNA from 1 species